AGUAUGUGGCACCAACUGGCAGGCCAGGGGGAAGAGAAGGGCGGGCGAUGCAGACGUCCGUCCUGUGUCCACGUCGAUGCAAAUCCGACCCAAAUUUAAGCCUAGAAUGGGUCACAAACGACAAACCGUGUGACAUAUUUCAUCCACGCGCGUUCGUUUGGCUCUGUGCGUUGGGUCGUGUUUUCUGUUCGCGAUGACCCAAAAGAAUGUGCGUGGACGAAAUGGAUCGUCCGGUUGCUUUUGGUCUGAAUAACG
rnacentral:lncRNA from 1 species